AUUGAACGCUGGCGGCAUGCUUUACACAUGCAAGUCGAACGGUAACAGGCCUUCUGGUGCUGACGAGUGGCGCACGGGUGGGUAAUGCAUCGGAACGUACCCAGAGGUGGGGGAUAACGCAGCGAAAGCUGUGCUAAUACCUCCUGUGAUCUGAGGAUGAAAGCGGGGGACCGAGCAGCAAUGUUUGGCCUCGCGCCUUUGGAGCGGGCGAUGUCGGAUUAGUUAGUUGGAGGGGUAAAGGCCUACCAAGGCGACGAUCCGUAGCUGGUGUGAGAGGACGACCCGCCACACGGGGAAGGAGACACGGCCCAGACUCCUACGGGAGGCAGCAGUGGGGAAUUUUGGACAAAGGGCGAAAGCCUGAUCCAGCAAUGCCGCGUGUGGGAAGAAGGCCUUCGGGUUGUAAAGCACUUUUGGCAGGAAAGAAAUGGUUGGCCCUAAUACGGUCGGGGAAUGACGGUACCGGAAGAAUAAGCACCGGCUAACUACGUG
rnacentral:rRNA from 1 species